UUUCGGGCCACACCCGGGGCAUAUGGAGGUUCUCAGGCUAGGGGUCCAGUCGGAGCUGGAGCGGCCGGCCUACGCCACAGCAACGCAGGAUCCGGGCCGCGUCGGUGACCUACACCACAGGUCACGGCAAGGCCAGAUCCUCAACCCACUGAGUGAGGCCAGGGAUCGAACCCGCAACCUCAUGGUUCCUCGUUGGAUUUGUUUCCUCUGCAAAAAUUCUCAUGAAAUACAUCGUACCACAUCUUGUAACUAAAGAAAAGCUUAGCAAUAGAGUUGAAAAUAAAAUUUUAUUUUUGACAAGAGUAACAUAAAAGAUCAGUUUUCCAUGCUUCAAAGAGAAAAAAAAAGGCCUUCAGCAGCUCUGGCUUCUCUCUCCCUACACUUCCCAGCCUCACGUUUCUUGUUCACUUUCUUUACGUCCGCAGGGAGCUACUAAACAGGCAGCCUUGGCACAGAUGCCAAGCAGGGCCGAGCCAGGACCAGGGGCCACCGGGCACAGGCACACAGCCCAGGCGGCUCUGCCCUGGGAGAACCCCGAGGACUCUAAAACGGCACAGACGAACUUGUGCCUGCUCCACUCUGUACAAAUCCUUUCACGUGGGCCCUGGGGAGAAUUUAAGAGCUGAGAGCAGAAAGGCUGGACCUUAACCCACAGAAAGGCGGCUUGAAAACCUUGAAAUUGACUUAACUAAACAUGUAACUUGCAGCUUCUCAGGUAACCAUCACCAACCCAUGUGCCGACCCUGCACCGGGCUUGUGCGCAGGCCUCUGGCUCUUGCGGGCUCCGCAGCACUCAGCUCGCUGUUCUUCGGAAACAAAGUCACCAAAAGGACCGACUCCCGAGAAGCCCCGGGACCCAGCGAGUCUUCGUGUGCGUGUGCGCGCGGCUCCCGCCCGCGUGCUCAGUGCUGUCUUCACUAUUGAACAGGCAUCUCGCUUGUUCCCGCAGUAACAGACGUUUCUACCUAAAAGUUAUAUAAAUCUAAGUGUCUAGUUUCUUAUUUUCUCUUUGGCAGCUACUGUUGCUUGGACAGUCUUCACUCUCCCCCUUUUAAUAGGAAAAAAAACCCUGACGAAGAGGCCCUGUCACCUGGGAGUGGGGCAGGCCAGGUACCCCACCCUCAGCUGGUCCCUGAGGUGGUGGCUGUCGGUCCCCCGAGGACACCUUCGCCUCUGGAGCAGUUACCCAGUGGGGCGCGGGGCCCGCACGCCCACGUGGUUCUUUGGGGGUCUUGGCGGUUGGCUCCAGAGGUCCCGCGUGGCUUUCCCUAACGUUCCUCGUGGCUUCGGAGGGCACUGUGGUUCCAGAGGCUGCUUUUCAAGCUGCAGGUUGUGUUGGUUUUAAAGAUUUCAAGACCCCCCAGCAUCAUCUGUUUGAACAAAAAGCAACACCAAAACACUCAUUAACGCUGAUGCCAAACAAGUAUUUGCAAUGGGGUUUCCAAUUCAGAAACUGAUUAGGGUUUUCUUAUGUGCCAAAGACCCUGAGACACCUCCACGAUGGAAUUGGUGGCCGCUGUCGAGAAACGGCGCUGUGAGUUACAAGUACCACUGGGGACAGAGGAAAUUACGGGACGUUAGAUUUGCAAAGCGCUGGCCAUCCUGACCCCUGAAUGUGGGUGCUUUUCCCCUUAGCGGACGGGGGAGGGGCAGGGUCCGCACACCUGCAGCGGGAGCCUGGGGACCGGGAGAAGCGGGCGGUUCAGGGGUGGCCUCAGGUGGGGCCGGGCUGCUCCGCCCCGCAGCCCGAGGGCCUGGCCAGCAGCACUGGGGACAGAGACACACCGGUCUCUCUCCCCCUCGAGCAGAACAGGACAAAGCUCUGUGUAAGGGACCAGAGGGCUUCCUCUGCAGAGACGGGCUGCCCAGGGAGGUGGCUGCUGGUGUGGGUGCCAGCACCCACAGCACCCCGAGGACCCCAGAGGCUGGCCUGCCCACUGCUCCGGGCCAGGUCCACCGGCAGGAGGCUCUGCUGAUGGCACAGACCGCGAGGCCACGCAGAGGUCGCCCCCAGGCAGAAGAGCUGUGGUGGCAGCAGCAGCAGCGACCACACCACGGACAGAGGACCGUCGGCGGCACCUGCCUCCUUAACCACAGCAGCGAGGUGUCCUGGGGACAGGAGGGAAGCCAGAGACUAGAGGAAAGGAACCCUCGUCUGGAAGGGAGCAACCCAAAGAACCCAGCUUCACUGAGUUACGGAUGAACUCCUGGCUGAAUUCACAGUCCAGGUAUCUGCUCUAAGACUUCCAAGAAUUUUAUCCAAAAUACUCUCAACAUGGAAAUCUCCCUCUAAAGACAGGUUCCUUCAAGUUGUAAAAUCUAAGGGAGCGGGAAGUU
rnacentral:lncRNA from 1 species